rnacentral:rRNA from 1 species
UACGUAGGGUGCGAGCGUUGCCCGGAUUUAUUGGGCGUAAAGGGCGCGUAGGCGGUGAGAUGCGUCCGUUGUGAAAUCGCCCGGCUCAACUGGGCGGGGUCAGCGGAUACGGUCUCACUUGAGCAAGCUAGGGGGCAAUGGAAUUCCCGGUGUAGUGGUGGAAUGCGUAGAUAUCGGGAGGAACAUCAGUGGCGAAGGCGGCUGCCUGGCCCAAUACUGACACUCAGGUGCGACAGCGUGGGGAGCAAACAGG